rnacentral:rRNA from 1 species
CCUACGGGGUGCAGCAGUGAGGAAUAUUGGUCAAUGGACGAGAGUCUGAACCAGCCAAGUAGCGUGAAGGAUGGCUGCCCUAUGGGUUGUAAACUUCUUUUAUAUGGGAAUAAAACGUUCCACGUGUGGGAUUUUGUAUGUACCAUAUGAAUAAGGAUCGGCUAACUCCGUGCCAGCAGCCGCGGUAAUACGGAGGAUCCGAGCGUUAUCCGGAUUUAUUGGGUUUAAAGGGAGCGUAGGUGGAUUGUUAAGUCAGUUGUGAAAGUUUGCGGCUCAACCGUAAAAUUGCAGUUGAAACUGGCAGUCUUGAGUACAGUAGAGGUGGGCGGAAGUCGUGGUGUAGCGGUGAAAUGCUUAGAUAUCACGAAGAACUCCGAUUGCGAAGGCAGUUCACUGGACUGCAACUGACACUGAGGCUCGAAAGUGUGGGUAUCAAACAGGAUUAGAUACCCGAGUAGUC